rnacentral:rRNA from 1 species
ACUGCGAGUGAAGCGGGAAAAGCUCAAAUUUAAAAUCUGGCGGUCUUUUGGCYGUCCGAGUUGUAAUCUAGAGAAGUGUUAUCCGCGCUGGACCGUGUACAAGUCUCCUGGAAUGGAGCAUCAUAGAGGGUGAGAAUCCCGUCUUUGACAUGGACUGCCAGGGCUUUUGUGAUGCGCUCUCAAAGAGUCGAGUUGUUUGGGAAUGCAGCUCAAAAUGGGUGGUAAAUUCCAUCUAAAGCUAAAUAUUGGCGAGAGACCGAUAGCGAACAAGUACCGUGAGGGAAAGAUGAAAAGAACUUUGGAAAGAGAGUUAAACAGUACGUGAAAUUGCUGAAAGGGAAACGCUUGAAGUCAGUCGCGUCGUCCAGGGAUCAACCUUGCUUUUGCUUGGUGCACUUUCUGGUCUGACGGGUCAGCAUCAAUUUUGAUCAUAUAUUGGAAAAAGAUUGAGGGAAUGUGGCAUCCUCGGAUGUGUUUAUAGCCCUUGGUCAAAUACAAUGGUUGGGAUUGAGGAACUCAGCACGCCGCAAGGCCGGGUGUUUACACCACGUACGUGCUUAGGAUGCUGGCANAUAUGGCUUUAAUCGACCCGUCUUGAAACACGGACCAAGGAGUCUAACAUGCCUGCGAGUGUUUGGGUGGAAAACCCGAGCGCGUAAUGAAAGUGAAAAGUUGAGAUCCCUGUCGUGGGGAGCAUCGACGCCCGGACCAGACCUUUUGUGACGGUUCCGCGGUAGAGCAUGUAUGUUGGGACCCGAAAGAUGGUGAACUAUGCCUGAAUAGGGUGAAUCCAGAGGAAACUCUGGUGGAGGCUCGUAGCGAUUCUGACGUGCAAAUCGAUCGUCAAAUUUG